rnacentral:rRNA from 1 species
GACAGAGGAUGCAAGCGUUAUCCGGAAUGAUUGGGCGUAAAGCGUCUGUAGGUGGCUUUCAAGUUCCGCCGUCAAAUCCCAGGGCUCAACCCUGGACAGGCGGUGGAAACUACCAAGCUGGAGUACGGUAGGGGCAGAGGGAAUUUCCGGUGGAGCGGUGAAAUGCAUUGAGAUCGGAAAGAAACACCAACGGCGAAAGCAGCUCUAGCUGGGCCGACACUGACACUGAGAGACGAAAGCU